UACGGGGGGAGCAAGCGUUGUUCGGAUUUACUGGGCGUAAAGGGCGCGUAGGCGGUCAGCACAAGUCAGUUGUGAAAUCUCCGGGCUUAACUCGGAAAGGUCAACUGAUACUGUGCGACUAGAGUGCGGAAGGGGCAACUGGAAUUCUCGGUGUAGCGGUGAAAUGCGUAGAUAUCGAGAGGAACACCUGCGGCGAAGGCGGGUUGCUGGGCUGACACUGACGCUGAGGCGCGAAAGCUAGGGGAGCGAACGGG
rnacentral:rRNA from 1 species